ACAAACUGCAGGCAUCAGAUUCCAAAAAUAAAAAGCUUUCAGAGCCGCACUGGACACGCAAACUUGUUUUUGUCCUUUGCCAGAUAAUCGAUAAAGCCUCAAAGUACUCAGUAGCUCACACAUUUUACAGAAGAAUAAAUAUAGAACAACUUUCAGUGGGGAGGAAAAAAAAAAAAAAAAUCUGUAC